rnacentral:rRNA from 1 species
GCGGAGGACCUUCGGGCUUCGCGCUAAUGGAUGAGCCUAAGUCGGAUUAGCUUGUUGGUGAGGUAAAGGCUCACCAAGGCGACGAUCCGUAGCUGGUCUGAGAGGACGAUCAGCCACACUGGGACUGAGACACGGCCCAG